rnacentral:rRNA from 1 species
AUUGAACGCUGGCGGCAGGCCUAACACAUGCAAGUCGAACGAGUGGCGGACGGGUGAGUAACGUCUGGGAACCUGCUCGAAGGAUGGGGAUAAUUACUGGAAACGGUAGCUAAUACCGCAUACCAUCGGAUGUGCGCAGAUGGGAUUGGCUAGUAGGUGGUGUAACGGCUCACCUCGGCAACGAUCCAUAGCUGGUCUGCGAGGAUGACCGGCCACACUGGAACUGAGACACGGUCCAGACUCCUACGGGAGGCAGCAGUAGGGAAUAUUGCACAAUGGGCGCAAGCCUGAUGCAGCCAUGCCGCGUGUAUGAUGAAGGCCUUCGGGUUGUAAAGUACUUUCAUCGGGGAGGCGUUACUCGCAGAAGAAGCACCGGCUAACUCCGUGCCAGCAGCCGCGGUAAUUC